rnacentral:sRNA from 1 species
GUAACUGUGCUGAGGGUCUGGGUACGAACUACCGAGGGCAUGUGAACAUCACCCGGUCAGGCAUUGAGUGCCAGCUAUGGAGGAGUCGCUACCCACAUAAGCCUGAGUGAGUGAGGGGCCGGCCUUCCCACCAUGGGCUGAGAACAGGGAGCAAGCGUACCUCAAGCCCAACAGCCUCCUGUUGGGCAAUUUCCUGUUCCAGAAUCAACUCCACUACCCAUCCCGGGGCCGACCUACAGGAGAAUUUCUGCCGCAACCCCGACAGCAGCACCACGGGACCCUGGUGCUACACUACAGACCCCACCGUGAGGAGGCAGGAAUGCAGCAUCCCUGUCUGUGGCCAGGAUCAAGUCACUGUAGCGAUGACUCCACGCUCCGAAGGCUCCAGUGUGAAUCUGUCACCUCCAUCAGAGCAGUGUGUCCCUGAUCGGGGGCAGCAGUACCAGGGGCGCCUGGCAGUGACCACACAUGGGCUCCCCUGCCUGGCCUGGGCCAGCGCACAGGCCAAGGCCCUGAGCAAGCACCAGGACUUCAACUCAGCCGUG